rnacentral:lncRNA from 1 species
CACUUUUUUUAUUUUUUAGACAGAAUCUUGUUAAAUUGCCAAAUUGCCCCAGCUGAAUUCGAACUUCGAUUCUCCCUACCUCACGCUCGGCUGUUUGGUAUGAUUUUUACUUAGUUUAUCAGUAUUUUUUUUCCUAUUUGAAGAGAGUAAUAUCUAGUCUGAUACUACCUAUUAUUGGUAUUGGAACUAGUGGGUUUAAAGGGGUUUUUUAAUUUUGUUUUGUUUUUACCGUGUGUGUGAUACUGAAGCUUGAACUCAGAGCCUCCCAUAUGCUAGGCAAGGGCUGUAACACUACGCUACAUCCAGCCCAUUUUGUUUUCUAGACAGGGUCUUGUUAAGUUACCUAGACUGGCCUUGAAUUUGCAAUCCUCCUACCUGAGCCUCCCAGUGACUGGGAUUACAGCAUGCCAUCCAGCGCCGAGUUUAUAACUGUCCACAACAGUGCUGCCCUGUAAAACUUCUUGCUGUGAUGGAAGUAUUCUACAUGUCUGCCUUAACAGGGUAGCCACUGGCCAUUGGGGGCUCUUGAGCCCUUGAAAUAUGGCUAUUGCUACUGUCUGAAUUUUCAAUUUAAUUUCAAUGUGAAUAGUCACUUUCAGCUGGUGACAACUGCACUGGACACAGGACUGGGAGGAGACCAUUAAGUUUGCUUGGAACCGAGUGAUGCACCAGGUUUAGUGCUAAAACCCUGGAAAUCCUAGGCAAAACGCUGAACUUCAGAAUCCCAUCCAGUUUCUGACAUGCCUGGGGCAAUUUCGAGGGAUACUCUAAAUAAAAAAGUAAAGCACAAGAAAGAAGCUCAUUUUCUUCCUGGUCCUAGGAUUGUCAGACAGCAUGUCUCCGGGCACAUACCCAUUCAGGCGCUGGUCUCAGAAGACAGAGAGGAAUUCGAGCCCUUGAAAGUUAAUCAGAGAGUGAUGGAAAGGCCUGAUACCAGUAUGUCACUCCCCACUUCAGUGUGCAGACCUCAAACUUACCCAGUGUCCCUUCUCUGAAGCCCUUCAGCCGAAAAAUAGAAAUG